AAAAAAAUGUCUGUGUGCCAAAAGAACCCAGUGUGUCCAUAAAGAGUGAUGGAUCAGUUAAAAGACAAAGAUUCUUCUUCUUCUUAUCAUGGUUUUGAUCAGGAAAGAUCAGAUUCACCUGCGCCCAGUGUUUUGUCGUUUAAGAGUGACCGAUCAAUGCAAAUGCCUAUUCAGCUAAGAAAUGAAACACUUCUACCACAACUAUGUUUGAAGGAGAGAUCGGACUCAUCUGCCCCUAGUGUUUUGUCCAUGAAGAGUGACCGGUCAAUGCAAAUGCCAAUUCAAAUGCAAAAUGGAUCAGAGCCGAUGGA